UCUCCAGAUUUCCUUUCUUGCCUGCAUCGUCUCCAUCUUUAUUCUUUCCCCCUCCUACCUUUAACCUAACUCUACGCUUCUGUUUCCAUGCCCAUUCCACAAAUCCUCAGAAUAUCGAAGAGGCUCUCUCUUCUUUUUAUCGCUUGGUUCAUGUGCGGCCCCCACCCUCCAUAAUCCAAAUUAAUAAGAUCCUGGGAUCUAUUGCAAAGUUGAAACACUAUCAAACUACUAUUUCCCUUUUCGCACGAGCGGAAUCUAAGGGAUUCACGCCAGAUUUGGUUACACUGAGUAUUUUGAUCAAUUGUUACUGCCAUGUGGGACAAAUGACUUUUGCAUUCUCUGCCUUAGGCAAGAUUCUUAAGAUGGGCUGUCAGCCAAAUACAAUUACCCUGACUACUCUAAUGAAGGGCCUUUGCCUCAAUAAUGACGUUGGAGAGGCUUUAGACUUUCAUGAUGAUAUGAUAGCAAAAGGGUUUCAGUUAGAUGCAGUCAGCUAUGGCACACUGAUUAAUGGACUAUGUAAGACUGGGAAAACAAGAGCUGCGGUUGAAUUACUCCAAAAGAUGGCAAGAGGGGUGGUUAAACCUAAUUUAGUUAUGUAUAGUACAGUUAUAGAUGGGUUUUCUAAAGAGGGACUCAUGGCAGAAGCGUUUGAUUUAUUUCAUCAGAUGAUUGAUCAUGGAAUAUCUCCCAAUGUCGUCACCUACAACUCUAUGAUACAUGGUUUUUGCGUUAUGUAUCAAUUGUCGGAAGCUGCAAAAUUAUUUAAUGAUAUGAGACUUGAAGGCAUUAAUGCUAACGUUUGUACUUUUAAUAUUUUUAUUGACGCAUUUUGUAAGGGAGGAAGUGUCACCAAAGCUGAAGCUGUUGUUGCCAUGAUGAUAAAGUUUGGUAUAAAACCUGAUAGAAUAACUUACAACACUUUAUUGGAUGGGUGCUUUUUGGUUAAUAAUGUUGGUAAGUCAAGAGAAUUAUUCAAUAAGAUGGUCAAGGUUGGUUUGGCUCCUAAUAUUGUUAGUUAUAAUAUUUUGAUCAAUGGAUUCUGUAAAAUCAAGAUGGUGGAUGAGGCUAUGGAUCUCUUAUUAGAAUUGAAGCGCAAAAAUCUGAUUCCUGAUGUUGUAACCUAUAGCUCUCUAGUUGAUGGUUUGUGCAAAUCUGGUAAAAUGUCCUGUGUGCAGGAUAUUAUUUGUGAGAUGCAUGAUAAUGGUCAUGCUCCAAAUAUAAUAUUUUACAAUGUCUUUUUAGAUGGAUUGUGCAAAAGUCACCAUCUUAAUCAAGCUCUUACAUUGUUUCAGCAAAUUGUUGGCCAAGGAAUUCGGCCUAAUACAUGCACAUAUACCAUAGUCAUUGAUGGCUUGUGCAAAGGUGGUAGAUUAAAUGAUGCGCAACAGAUUUUUCAGGAUCUUUUGGUCAAUGGCCAUCCUUUGGAUGUCCAAGCAUAUACUGCAAUGAUCAGUGGACUCUGUAAAGAGGGCUUGUUUGAUGAGGUAAAGGCCUUGCUUUAUAAAAUGAAAGAAAAUGGAUGCACACUUGAUUUUGUAACUUUUGAUGCAAUUAUUAGACCUCUUUUGGAAAAAGGUGAGAAUGCCAAGGCAAAGGAUCUACUGGAUGAAAUGAUCACUGGAGGUUAAGGUUCGACACUUUGCCCCACAUUUUCUUGGUUGAUACUCACUUUUGUGAUGGAAUUUUUUGUGUUGUUUAACGAUUUUUCUUUUUUUAAGGUAAACUUUGUGCACUAUAGAAUAGCUGACUGCAAUAGCCUGUGUUCUGUUUACAUGCAUCAACCAUGAUUGUUGCCAACAUUACUGGGUUUACAAAAGAAGAAGAAGGAAUUAUAGCAUUAUGUGCCAUAAAUGAAGGCGAUGUUAGAACGAGUCUUGCAAAACCUUUAUCAGGGCUUGUUUGUGUUGCGAGGAGGCAUGGCCAUUGCGGUUCAGUUAUGUGCCCGGUAGUUGUUUGAGAAGCGGACAAGUCAUUGAAAGCAAAGUAGCAUAUGGGAGAACCAUUGAUGCUUCAUUGGAUGCUUUUGGUGGCUAUGCCUGUGUUACAGUGAAGAAGAGAUUGAGAAUGGAAAUAUUGGAGAGGAGGGCAUAUGAAGAGUAAACUCUUCAGCUUUCAUUAGAUUGGCAAAGAGUCAUACCACAUCUAUCACUAAAAUGACGCCUAUUUAUUGCUGAGCAUGAGUAUAUUCCUUCCCCUUGCUGCAAUCUUCCAUUUUGUUGGUGAAUAGUCAACUUUGUAAAAGCAUAUUCUGGAGUUUAGUUUUUAAGUUUGUGUCACGAGAAAUGCAUCGCCAGUAAACAAAGGAAUAGAAAUUAGAAGUAAUGUACAGUUUUGAGUUUCUUCUUUUCCCUCCUGAACAAACAAUCGCUGAUACCCUGAUUUGGAAAGAAAAUAGUGAACUCAACUGUAUCUGAGCUGGACUACUGCAAGAAAACUCAGUAGUCCGUGCAUGUUUAUGUUUGUUUCUACUCAGUGAUGCUACGGAGGGUAUCAAGCAUAGCUUCUUCAUCGGGUUCUACAGUCAACUUCUAAGGUAGUUUGUUGUCUGUGGCAUCUUUCUCAUCAAAUGUUGUAAUUCUGGAUUUCAGCUGGAUCAUGAUGUUUCUAGGCUUUCGGAUACUCGAUGGCAUGUGAUUUUAAUCUGAAUUGAAUGUGUUUCUGCAAAGUUCAAUUCUUUCUCUUGGCUGAGAUUGUGAUGGUUUACUUGGCUUUGGCAUGCGUCUGUGCUGCUAUGUGAUUUUAAUCUGAAUAUUGUAAAGCAUUAGGCCUUGUUAGCUUGUCCAAAGCCAGAGGAGUCGGAAAGAAUAGAGAAGCCAGUUUGCAGCAA